rnacentral:rRNA from 1 species
AGAGUUUGAUCAUGGCUCAGGAUGAACGCUAGCUACAGGCUUAACACAUGCAAGUCGAGGGGAAACGACAUCGAAAGCUUGCUUUUGAUGGGCGUCGACCGGCGCACGGGUGAGUAACGCGUAUCCAACCUGCCCACCACUUGGGGAUAACCUUGCGAAAGUAAGACUAAUACCCAAUGAUAUCUCUAGAAGACAUCUGAAAGAGAUUAAAGAUUUAUCGGUGAUGGAUGGGGAUGGCGUCUGAUUAGCUUGUUGGCGGGGUAACGGGCCCACCCAAGGCAACGAUCAGUAGGGGUUCGUGAGAGGAAGGUCCCCCACCAUUGGAACUGAGACACGGUCCAAACUCCUACGGGAGGCAGCA